rnacentral:miRNA from 1 species
UGUUUGAGUUCUGGAUCUGGA